rnacentral:lncRNA from 1 species
UGGUAUUUCUCCUAUAAUCUACCGAUCCCCUGGAUUUCAGUACCUGAGCAUGUUGCGAGAGGUCACGUAGCAGAAAAAGAAAUGGGAUAUUGAGGCUCCGAUCCUGCAAAACAAGGCGGAGUUCCUUCUUCGGAGUGACUGUCCGAUGGUUUAAUCAGUGUAAAAAAAGUAAUAUAGAGUCCUUUAAUUUGAUCUUAAGAGAUUACUCGAGUUUGUAAUAUUCUCAAAGAUAGAAUAUUGUUUAUCAUCAAGAGAUAUAAUUUUUCAGGAAAA